rnacentral:rRNA from 1 species
GAACGCUGGCGGCGUGCUUAACACAUGCAAGUCGAACGAUGAUCCCAGCUUGCUGGGGGAUUAGUGGCGAACGGGUGAGUAACACGUGAGUAACCUGCCCUUGACUCUGGGAUAAGCCUGGGAAACUGGGUCUAAUACCGGAUACGACCAUCUGGCGCAUGUCAUGGUGGUGGAAAGCUUUUGUGGUUUUGGAUGGACUCGCGGCCUAUCAGCUUGUUGGUGGGGUAAUGGCCUACCAAGGCGACGACGGGUAGCCGGCCUGAGAGGGUGACCGGCCACACUGGGACUGAGACACGGCCCAGACUCCUACGGGAGGCAGCAGUGGGGAAUAUUGCACAAUGGGCGCAAGCCUGAUGCAGCGACGCCGCGUGAGGGAUGACGGCCUUCGGGUUGUAAACCUCUUUCAGUAGGGAAGAAGCGAAAGUGACGGUACCUGCAGAAGAAGCGCCGGCUAACUACGUGCCAGCAGCCGCGGUAAUACGUAGGGCGCAAGCGUUAUCCGGAAUUAUUGGGCGUAAAGAGCUCGUAGGCGGUUUGUCGCGUCUGCUGUGAAAGACCGGGGCUCAACUCCGGUUCUGCAGUGGGUACGGGCAGACUAGAGUGCAGUAGGGGAGACUGGAAUUCCUGGUGUAGCGGUGAAAUGCGCAGAUAUCAGGAGGAACACCGAUGGCGAAGGCAGGUCUCUGGGCUGUAACUGACGCUGAGGAGCGAAAGCAUGGGGAGCGAACAGGAUUAGAUACCCUGGUAGUCCAUGCCGUAAACGUUGGGCACUAGGUGUGGGGGACAUUCCACGUUUUCCGCGCCGUAGCUAACGCAUUAAGUGCCCCGCCUGGGGAGUACGGCC